rnacentral:rRNA from 1 species
CCUACGGGAGGCAGCAGUGGGGAAUUUUGGACAAUGGGCGAAAGCCUGAUCCAGCAAUGCCGCGUGAGUGAAGAAGGCCUUCGGGUUGUAAAGCUCUUUUGUCAGGGAAGAAACGGUGAGAGCUAAUAUCUCUUGCUAAUGACGGUACCUGAAGAAUAAGCACCGGCUAACUACGUGCCAGCAGCCGCGGUAAUACGUAGGGUGCAAGCGUUAAUCGGAAUUACUGGGCGUAAAGCGUGCGCAGGCGGUUUUGUAAGUCUGAUGUGAAAUCCCCGGGCUCAACCUGGGAAUUGCAUUGGAGACUGCAAGGCUAGAAUCUGGCAGAGGGGGGUAGAAUUCCACGUGUAGCAGUGAAAUGCGUAGAUAUGUGGAGGAACACCGAUGGCGAAGGCAGCCCCCUGGGUCAAGAUUGACGCUCAUGCACGAAGACGUGGGAGGACGAACAGAGUAGUAUACCUACGUAGUACCGACCGACCCGUAACCGACUAGUCUACUAGUUGUUCGGUUCGUUACGUUAGUACGUU